rnacentral:rRNA from 1 species
UUCCCUGAUCCUCCUGGGUAGCUUCCUGGAAACCUAAGUGUUAGGGUUUGGGGGGAGUAUGGUUGCAAAGCUGAAACUUAAAGGAAUUGAUGGAAGAUCACCACUAGGAGUGGACCUUCAGCUUAAUUUGACUCAACAUGUGAGACCUCACCUGGACCAGACAAGGACAGGAUUGACAGAUUGAUAGCUCUUUCUGUACAUGGAAGGAAAUCGUGAUCUAUCUGGCCCUAAGAGAUGAUGGAAAAAGAGAUAAAAUGGAAAUACAAACUGUGAGCAGUUUCUGCUCUGAACUGUAAACAUCAAUGUGGUAUUUUUGGCAGAUGGAGUGGUUCUAUUUUGUUGGUUUUUGGAUCUGAGGUCAUAAUUAAGAGGGGUGCUUGGGGCAUUCGUAUUGUGCCACUAAAUGUGAAAUUCUUGGAUCGGUGCAAGACAGACCAGAGGGAAACUAUUUGCCAAGAAUAUUUUCAUUAAUCAAGAAAACAGUCAGAGGUUCGAAGAUGAUCAGAUACCAUCAAAGUUCUGACCACAAACAAUGCCAACUGGAGAUGCAGUGGUUUUAUUCCCUGAUCCUCCUGGGUAGCUUCCUGGAAACCUAAGUGUUAGGGUUUGGGGGGAGUAUGGUUGCAAAGCUGAAACUUAAAGGAAUUGAUGGAAGAUCACCACUAGGAGUGGACCUUCAGCUUAAUUUGACUCAACAUGUGAGACCUCACCUGGACCAGACAAGGACAGGAUUGACAGAUUGAUAGCUCUUUCUUGAAUCUGUGGGUGGUGGUGCAUGGCCAUUCUUAUUUGGUGGAGUGAUUUGUCUGGUUAAUUCCAAUAAGGAAGGAGACUCUGGCAUGCUAACUAGUUAAGUGACACCGGAGUGGUCAGCAUCCUCCAACUUCUUAGAAGGACAAGUGGCAUUCAGCCACCUGAGAUUGAGCAAUAACAGGUCUGUGAUGCCCUUAGAUGUCAGAGGCUGCAUGCACACUACACUGACUGGCUCAGCGUGUGCCUACUCUAUGCCAGCAGGAGUGAGCAACCAAUUGAACCCCAUUCGUGAUGGGGAUCAGGGAUUGCAAUUAUUCCCCAUGAAUUAGGAAUUCCCAGUAAGUGCGGGUCAUAAGCUUGCAUUGAUUAAGUCCCUGCCCUUUAUACACUCUACCAAUUGGAUGAUUUAGUGAGGCCCUCAGAUUGGCUCUGAGGGGUCUGGCAUGGCCCUGGCUAAGAAGUCGAACUUGGCUAUCUAAAGGAAGUAAAAGUCGCAACAAGGUUUCAGCAGGUGAACCUGCAGAAGGAUCAUUA